UAGAAAUUGAAAGAAAAUGUUAAUAAAUUGAAUAUAUCAAACCCCAUCGACCCUUUCUGGCCAAAAAAGAGCAAGCAGUGAUUCAUAGAAGGAAAUAGGCAAUAUAUGGACUAUGGAAUAUUUACUGGUUUCGACACUUACUUGUUAUUAAAAGACACAUAGAGAUGAUAUGAAAGGAUCGGUUUCGAAGAGUCAGCUAACGAGGAAAUUUGUAUAUGUACCAUUUGUCGAGCGAAAUGACUAGAAUUCAGUAUUUCAUAGAAAGGAGCAAAAGGAGAUUUGUUAUAACAACUAAGAUCGAAACCAUUCUCUUAGCAUUUCAGGAAUCCUGAUGGGGAAAAGACCACCGGUAGCGUAAGAAGGGAGUUUGGUGCGUCGGAUGGCAAGUGGACAGGCAGGUUCCCUGAAGCACUUUAAGGAACAGCAUUCUCCUGAAGUUCAACUAAUAAAUGAGGUAUUGAUAUCUUAUCAAUAUAUAUUACGAUCCCACAGAAUAUAUAUGUAAGAAGUCAUCUACUUCUCAAAAAUCUAUGAAAUGAAAUUCAGCUGUAAAAUGUGUCACUCUCUUAAAUCUCCUCACUCCAAAUAAAGGGAAAUAUUAUUGGAGUCGUAGUUUGUUCCGGAGUAAUAAACCUAAAUAACAUAAAUCUCACAACAGCAUGACAUAUUUGAGGAAAGAUAACAAUGAACAAUUGCAUGCAGUAUGUAAAUCAUCCAUAUGAUACCGUAGCAUAUCAACCACUGCACUAAUACUAGUUUCAAUAUAUUUAUUAUACGACUGUUUGUUAUCAAAUUUGACUCCAAGAUUUGUGCCAUGUGUCGCAAACUCCAAUAUAAAUCUGUGGCCUAAUACGCCUACGACUGGAUA
rnacentral:sRNA from 1 species